AACGCUAGCUACAGGCUUAACACAUGCAAGUCGCGGGGUCUGCUUCGGCAGACGACCGGCGCACGGGUGAGUAACGCGUAUCCAACCUGCCCCUCUCUUUGGCAUAGCCUUUCGAAAGGGAGAUUAAUUCCGAAUAACAUAGUUAGAUUGCAUGAUAUGACUAUGAAAGCUCCGGCGGAGAGGGAUGGGGAUGCGUUCCAUUAGCUAGUUGGCGGGGUAACGGCCCACCAAGGCAUCGAUGGGUAGGGGUUCUGAGAGGAAGGUCCCCCACACUGGAACUGAGACACGGUCCAGACUCCUACGGGAGGCAGCAGUGAGGAAUAUUGGUCAAUGGUCGGAAGACUGAACCAGCCAAGUAGCGUGAAGGAUGAAGGUUCUAUGGAUUGUAAACUUCUUUUAUACGGGAAUAAAACCUCCCACGUGUGGGAGCUUGUAUGUACCGUAUGAAUAAGCAUCGGCUAACUCCGUGCCAGCAGCCGCGGUAAUACGGAGGAUGCGAGCGUUAUCCGGAUUUAUUGGGUUUAAAGGGAGCGUAGACGGGAGAUUAAGUCAGUUGUGAAAGUUUGAGGCCCAACCUUAAAAUUGCAGUUGAUACUGGUUUCCUUGAGUGCGGUUGAGGUGUGUGGAAUUCGUGGUGUAGCGGUGAAAUGCUUAGAUAUCACGAAGAACUCCGAUUG
rnacentral:rRNA from 1 species